CUGUUGGGGGAAGAGUGGGGAGCUCGGUCUGGCAGAGCCGGAUAGGGCUGGAUGGGUUUGGGAUCCAAGUGAAUUGAAUCUCCAGGCAGAGUGUGGGCACCGGCCCCAGCCACCCAUUCCUAGCAUCCUUUGGAUGUAGGUGUCAUCGGUAGAGACUCGGGGGUCAUUAAUUUAUGGCUCCUGGGCAUUCACUGGUGAUUUGAGAAGCUCAAUAGGAACUUCUCAGUAUUUCUAGAACAGGACAAGUUUUGCUAUUUUAACAUCUGGGAGACCUGUGGGGCAGGAGAGAGAGAAGGGAUAUUAUUAGAAUGUGUGAAUCUUGGCCGGGCUCCCUCGGGCCCUGGAGUGGGCAGGUGGCCAGAGGACAGAAGUGAUAUUUCACACAGAUGGUGGCCUCUCCAGGCCUCUGCAAACCAGCAGGACGGAUCGGCGGUGAGGUGAGGCUCGUGUGCCUGGCGCCAGGAGUGCCCACCAAGAACCUUAAAUGGGUCUCCCAGAUGUUCAAAUAGCUUGUGUCCUGCACACUGACUGAGAGUGUGUCCUUGACAAGUCCCUUCACCUCCCUGAGCUCCAGGCUUGUCACCCGUAAAAGGUGGUGACAGGAAGAGAAGUGCACAUGUGGGAAGCUCCCGAAAGGUGCCAUGUGCUCUACCCCAUGUGUGCCCACUCUCCUCUGGCCUCCCCCAGCCCCUUGUCCUUCUCUGCCUGCUCUGUGCCCUGGAGGCUGUGUCUGGUGAAGGUGGAGGGACUCAGGACACAGCCCAGACAUUCUUGGGAAAAUCACCGCAGGGCUCAGACGGCCAAUGUGGGACCUCGUGGUCCAGGUUUGAGGAGCUCUGGGAGUCCUACGACUGAGGUCUCUGCCCAGUUUGGUCUCAGGGACUCAUCCUAACAGUUUAUAUGCCUGCCUUCUGCUUCCCGACUGCUGCAGAGGAAAGAACAGGGGCUUUGGAACCAGAGACCUGCGAUUAAAUCUGGAAUCAUGUCACCCCAGUGAGCCUUGGUGUCUUUACCUGUGAAAUUACCACCCUCCAUUCCUCAUGGGCAAAUGCAGGUGUGGGAAGUAACCAGAUUGUUUUAAAUACUCAAUAAAUGACGGUUGUAUUAGUAA